rnacentral:rRNA from 1 species
CCUUGUUUAACAAAAACAUGGCCUUUUGAUUAUAAUUUAAGGUCUAAUCUGCCCCCUGAUAAUUUAAAUGGCCGCAGUAUUUUGACUGUGCUAAGGUAGCAUAAUCAAUAGUUUUUUAAUUGAAAGCUGGAAUGAAUGAUUGAAUGAGAUAAAAACUGUCUUAAUUUUAAAAAUUAGAAUUUUAUUUUUAAGUUAAAAAGCUUAAAUAUUUUUAAAAGACGAGAAGACCCUAUAGAGUUUAAUAAUUUAAUUUUAUAUAUAAUUUUAUUAUAAAUUUAAUUUGAUUUUAAAUUAUUUUGUUGGGGUGAUAGAAAAAUUUAAUUAACUUUUUUUUAAUUUUUACAUUUAUAAAUGAAUAUUUGAUCCAUAAUUAAUGAUUAUAAGAUUAAAUUACCUUAGGGAUAACAGCGUAAUUUUUUUCUAGAGUUCUAAUCGAAAAAAAAGAUUGCGACCUCGAUGUUGGAUUAAAGUUAAAAUUUGGUGUAGAAGCUAAAUAUUUAAGUCUGUUCGACUUUUAAAACUUUACAUGAUCUGAGUU